UGCAACAAUAAAAAGGCAAGCAAAGCGAAAGUUGAAGCAAUGUGGAAAGUUUUCUGAACAAAGAGCUCUCUCUUGCAUUUGCAACAAUAGAAAGAGUGUUCAUUCUCCAACAACACACUUCUCUCAAUCUUCUGCUCAGCAAGUUUCAGCAACAGAAAAGAAAUAGAAGAGUGGUACAAAAGUUGAGAAUAGAACUGCAACAAUGUAAUAGAAUUAGAAGAGGUUUCAUUCUCCAUCAACACACAUCUAUCUUCUUACAAGGAUCACCAUUCGCCACAGUUUCAGGUUU